ACUGAACGCCUCUAAGUCAGAAUCUGGGCUAGAAGCGACGCAUGCACCCGCCGCCCGAUUGCCGACCCUUAGUAGGAGCUUCGGCUCCCAAAGGCACGUGUCGUUGGCUAAGUCCGUUCGGCGGAAGCGCCAUUCAGACCGCCUUUGAUGUGCUGCAGUCCAUGGAUCAUUACAUGGAACCAGCUCAGCAUGGAGUUCACGACGUUCUGAAAAUUUCAACCGAGGUUCAUGUUUUUCACCGUGCCAGACUUGACUUGGAUCAUGCUAGACUUGAGAAAGAUCAUGCCAGACUUGAGAAAGAUCAUGCCAGACUUGAGAAAGAUCAUCUCAGACUUGAGAAAGAUCAUGCCAGACUUGACUUGGAUCAUGAGGUUUCAAAAAAUGAUCAAGACUUCUCUUUUUUGCUCGAUUGGCCCAUACUGCACGUACCGGCGACCGUACUGAUGGACUGAUCGACCAUUUUGAUCAGUUCAUGCACUUUGAUCAGCCAAAUCUUACUAAGGCAAGGAUCCUUCGCCUUUCUGAAGACAUAGGACGCACUUGGUCCAGUCUGGUUCAUGAUCCGGACAUGGUGGCUCAUACGGACAGUCCCACAUCCGUCCUUCUCUUUACCGCAGUCCAUGCUUCAGGAUACAAUGAACCCGGACAGAAGCCGAUCAGUCACAUUUAAUAAUGAGAAAAUUACUAGAAUGUUACACAUUUUAUGGUUUAUUACUAGAAUGUUGUAUAUCUUUGUUUUAUUACUAGAAUGUUUUCUCUUUCCUAGUAAUUUACAAUAAGGGGCUUUUGUUAUGUUUUAUUUUCUGAAACUAAUUUUAAAGAUCAAAGCCACAUCAGUUAUUUAAAAUCCACAUCACAUCAGUUAUUUUUUGAAACCAAACCGUCUCUAUCACUAUCACUAUCAUACAUACGGUUUUGUCAAAAAAAGAAAAGAAAAGAACACGAAGAACUGUGUUGUGUCGAAGAAGGAACCGCAAACCGAAAUCCUCUCACCCUUCGAAACCCUCGUCGACAUUGUUCUUUACUUCUUCGAACUCUCUCUAACUCUCUGUCGUUGAACUCUCUAUAACUCUCUGUCGUUGAACUCUGUCUCGUCGGAGUUUUUAGAAACCGUCGUCUGUACGAAAUCGCCUUCACCGCAUUCUCAUCAACGAGUUCAUCUUUUCCGGUAAGAUGUCGCGACGUUAUAUAUUGUAUUUUGGUUGAGUUUGUGGGUCAGUUAUAUAUUGAGGCUGUGAUAUGGGUGUGUCGAGGAUUUUGUUGUGUCUGAGUUAGGGUUAUGUUGCGGCUGAGAUAUGUGAUUGUCUAGGCUUUUGUUGUGUCUGAAUUAGGGCUUUUUGUUGUGGCUGAGUUAUGGUUAUGUUAUAACUGAGUAAUUAUUAUGUUAUGGCUGAGUUAUGGUUAUUUUAUAACUGAGUAAUUAUUAUGUUAUGGCUGAGUUAUAUAUAUGACCUAAUAUAUUUUAAUAUUAUGAUAUGGCUGUGUUAUUUUUAUGUUGUGGCUGAUUUAUUGUUGUGUUAUAUGAUCAGAUGGAUGUUAGUCAAGUCGAACCACGUGAUUACCCUCCAAGACUUUACCCUUCUAACCUAGAAGGUAAAGAUAUCAAUCAUAAUUUCCGUGCAGGACAUUUCCCCCACAUUAAAGAAACAAUAGGACUCGAUGUGUGGGAAGAACUGGUGAACUCUCCCAUUGGAGUAGUUGCUAGGCUACUUUCACGCGAAAGCAUUUGGUCUGGUAGGACCGUACACUAUCUGCUAUGUAGACAGCUGCGAGUGCAUAAAAAGGAGAUAUGGUCUCUACUGGAGAUGUUUCCCUGGAUGUUGAAUGAGCUUAUUCUUGCCGAUCUCCGAAAGCAUUCUAGGAAGAGGUUCGCAUUCAGACGGAGGAGCAAAAGAUACAUUCCACAAAACAACAUCAUAGGUGAUUGUGGGGUUUAUUCGUUGAAGUUUGUGGAGUGUCUAGCGCUUGGUGUGUCUUUUUAUGGCAUAAACGAUAGUAAUAUUCAAGGGUUACGGGUGAAGAUGGCAGCAGAUAUCCUCGAGGAAGGAGGAAAUGUUGGAAUGAACAAGUUGUUGUCAAAAUGAAACUGUGUUUGUUUGUGAACCUGUGUUUGUUGUUAUGUUAACUAUUUGACUUUGGAUAACUGCUGUAAUAACUCAGUCAUAUCGAUUAGUAAUACUCAGCCAGUACUUAUUGAUAACUCAGUCAUACCUCAAACAUACCCUAGAACCAAAAUAAUUAAUAAUUUUUCAUUCGAAUGUUAUAUAUAAAGUCCAAUUAUCAAAAUAAUUAAUAAUAACUCAAUGUGUGAGCAUGAUCUUUGUUGACUAUACGAGUUUGGAAUCGAUUAUAAUCUUGAGGUAUAUGUUGUCUCUUACGAGUACCUAAAACUCUAGGCAGUGAUAUGAGGUGUGAGCAUGAUUCAAAACACGUAAACUGUUAUUGUGUUAUUUAUUAUGAAUUUGUGAUAUUUAUCAUAUCUUGUGGUUCGUACAUCAUAAAUCAUAACCCUAAACAAUCUUAUUCGGAACCCAAACCCUAAAUAACUAAACCCUAUACCCUAAACGGCAAACAACAAAUCAGCCGUAAAGGUCUUAAUAACUCAGCAUGUUAGUGUAAGUUAAUAUUUACAUAUGGCGCGAAAAUUUUAGAUAUUUUAUCUCGCGACCUUUAAUGUUCUAUACUUCCCCUAUAUAUAGCCCCCUUCUCUUGCACUUUCUCGCCUUAUCUCACUAGAAAACCUAAACAAUAUCUCUAUAUCGCCUUACAAAGUUAUGAUUGUUCCUGGUUAUUCAGAAAGGUUAGAGAACAGAGUCAAUGAGAUACUAAACUCUGAAAAUCGUGAAAACCUUCCCGUUCUAUACCCUGGCCCGGGUUUCUUGCUUGACAGCGUAAUCUGGUUUAAAUUUCUAAGCGAUCUCUCCCUGGCCAUCCCGUCGAUUUUAGCAGAAGGAUGGGUUCAUGAUUGGCCGACAUGGCGCGCCAUUCCCGAUCAUUUUAAGGAACGCUGGUUUCUUCAACUCGCUCGCAAACGCACGUGGGCACGAAGAUAUAAUUUUCAAGUUUGGACAAAUUUUAAUCUGGUGGCCAGAACGGUGUUUCGUUGUCAGAUGCGCCUCUUGAAGAGGAGGUGGGCACAUGGGGGUGAGAAGCCUGCGUGGAUGCUAACUAGAGUUUGGCGUGAUCUUGUCCACAUGUUUGAAGAAUUUGGUCCUGAUAAUUUUGGUUUUAGUAAUUGAUUUGUUGUUUUUGUUUGUAUUCAGCCGUCAAGUUUUUAUAAAGUUGUUUAACUCAGACGUUAAGUUUCUAUAAAGUUGUUUAACUCAGCCAUUAAGUUUCUAUUAAGUUGUUUAACUCAGCCGUUUAGUUUCUAUAAAGUUGUUUAACUCAGCCGUUAAGGUUUUAUAAAGUUGUUUAACUCAGCCGGAAUUGUUUGCGUCAAACGUCAGUGUUUCAGUUAAUUAACUCAGCCGUAAUACGAAUUAAGAUACUAAUAACUCAGCCUUAUAUUGUAAAAAUACAAAGCCAAAGUUAACGCUAUUUUCCAUGUAUUAUUAUGGUCGCCAUUACUUAAUCGAGACCAGUAUUAGAGUCCUUUAUUCUCUUAUUAUUAUACGUGCGAGAAAUUCCAUCGUCAUUGAGAAUAUCGAGACUCAUUAUUAUGGCCGUCAUUACAUUAUCGAGACUACUAUUAUUAGAGACCUUUAUUCUGUUAUUAUUAUGUGCAUGAGAAAUUUCGUUUGCAUUGAGAAUAUCGAGACUCAUUAUUAUACGGCUGGCACGCAUGUAUCGGAUUAUUUACAUAAUCGAGGUAUUGUUAUUUUUAAUGUAACUCAGUCAAUACAUCUACGUUAACUCAGCCAAAAUAUAGACGCUAACACAGCCGUAAUACGAAUUCAACUUAAGUGUUUGAUAAAAUAAUAAAGAACCUUUCGUAUUUCUUGAUUUGAUUGAGUAUUCGUCAUAAUUAAAGUGCAUCACGUGUGUGGAAAAUACGGCUCAAACCUAAUAUCGAGGCAUCUAAUAGUUUAUUAAUUUAAAUUAUUCCUCUUUAUUUGAAUUUUUUUAAAAAAAUGAUUUUAUAUUACUACCACUAUUGUUUUAACUUUGUCUUUCACACCAAUUUCUCUUUCAUUCAAAGAAAAUGUCUUCUUCAUCAUCUGUGUCUGGUAACACUUACUUUCACCGCCGGCAUGUGGAAAGAGGAACGCCGAAACAGUGUUGGUGUGGUGAACCCGCUGAAUUAUGUACAUCUGCAUCACGGGCUAAUCCAGGACGACUGUACUAUUGCUGUCGCAAAGGAUAUAUUAAGGUUUGAUUUUUAAUUUUAUUCAUUAUACUGUCAAUGUGAUACUAAGAGCUGGGCAUGUUGGUGAAAUCAGAGACAUUUAUUCAAAUGGGCGGACGAGUGCUUGGUGGAAGAGGUAGAAGAUAUGAAAUCGGUGAUGAGUGACAUGACCAAAGGCAUAUCAGAUCUGAGAGUAGACGUUGGUCGGUUGGAGAAAGAACUCGGUAAAGCGGAAAAGAUGAAGUGUUUGAUGUUUCCAGUGGUGGUUUGUGGGUUUGGUAUGGCCAUAUUUUGGCACUAUUUCUUUGCGUAGUCAUGUGUUGUAAUCAUAAUUUAGACGCAAUGUUUUUAGUAACUCAGCUAUUAGGUUCAAUGCAACUCAGCCAGUACGUUAAUUAAUUCAUAAUCAAACAAUAACCCAGCCAUAAUACGAGUAUUCGUCAGUCAUAACGUUUUAAUAACUCAGUUAUAACGUUAACUGCAAUUCAGCCGUUACGUUAAUUAAGUCACUAUAAAACAAUAACCCAGCCAUAAUAUGAGUAUUCGUCAGUCAUAAUGUUUUAAUAACUCAGUUAUAACGUUAACUGCAAUUCAGCCGUUACGUUAAUUAAGUCACUAUCAAACAAUAACCCAACCAUAAUAUGAGUAUUCGUCAGUCAUAAUGUUUUAAUAACUCAGUUAUAACGUUCACUGCAACUCAGCCGUUACGUUAAUUAAGUCAUAAUCAAACAAUAACCCAGCCAUUAUAUGAGUAUUAGUCAGCCAUAAAAAGAGACAUACAUAAAUUUCUGGUUCGACAUACAUAAGUUUAGGUUCAAAAUCACUCUUCCCUUUCCGGACAUACACACAUUAGUGGAGUAGUUUUCCCAUCUCCAACCACAUUGAACACAAAUAAGUCUCCUAUGGCGCAUCUGUUAGCACGACAGAACUUUCUCCAGCCUCUUCUGAUGUAAUACAUGCCGUCUGCUUCGCUAAAUCGCAAACUCACAGUCCAUGAAUUUCCCUCUUUGUUGACAAGUAUUAUCUCUUGGCAUUGUUUGUUCAAAGCAGUACAAGUCGUAGCUCCCUCAGGAAGAUACUGCAAACACAGAACGUAAAGACACAGAACAGAUCAAACCAUAUGUUAAUAACUAACUAAAUACUGCAAACACAGAACGUAAAGACACUGAA